rnacentral:rRNA from 1 species
UGGCGAACGGGUGAGUAACGCGUGGGUAACCUGCCUUAUACAGGGGGAUAACAACCAGAAAUGGUUGCUAAUACCGCAUAAGCGCACAGGACCGCAUGGUCUAGUGUGAAAAACUCCGGUGGUAUAAGAUGGACCCGCGUUGGAUUAGCUGGUUGGCAGGGUAACGGCCUACCAAGGCGACGAUCCAUAGCCGGCCUGAGAGGGUGAACGGCCACAUUGGGACUGAGACACGGCCCAA